rnacentral:rRNA from 1 species
AACGAACGCUGGCGGCAUGCCUAACACAUGCCAGUCGAACGAGACCUUCGGGUCUAGUGGCGCACGGGUGCGUAACGCGUGGGAACCUGCCCUUAGGUUCGGAAUAACUCCCCGAAAGGGGUGCUAAUACCGGAUAAUGUCUUCGGACCAAAGAUUUAUCGCCUUUGGAUGGGCCUGCGUUGGAUUAGCUAGUUGGUAGGGUAAAAGCCUACCAAGGCGACGAUCCAUAGCUGGUCUGAGAGGAUGAUCAGCCACACUGGGACUGAGACACGGCCCAGACUCCUACGGGAGGCAGCAGUGGGGAAUAUUGGACAAUGGGCGAAAGCCUGAUCCAGCAAUGCCGCGUGAGUGAUGAAGGCCUUAGGGUUGUAAAGCUCUUUUACCCGGGAUGAUAAUGACAGUACCGGGAGAAUAAGCUCCGGCUAACUCCGU